UACGUAGGGUGCGAGCGUUGUCCGGAAUUAUUGGGCGUAAAGAGCUCGUAGGCGGCCUGUCGCGUCGGAUGUGAAAGCCCGGGGCUUAACCCCGGGUCUGCAUUCGAUACGGGCAGGCUAGAGUGUGGUAGGGGAGAUCGGAAUUCCUGGUGUAGCGGUGAAAUGCGCAGAUAUCAGGAGGAACACCGGUGGCGAAGGCGGAUCUCUGGGCCAUUACGGACGCUGAGGAGCGAAAGCGUGGGGAGCGAACAGG
rnacentral:rRNA from 1 species